rnacentral:rRNA from 1 species
GAUGAACGCUAGCUACAGGCUUAACACAUGCAAGUCGAGGGGAAACGGCAUUUUAGUGCUUGCACCGAAUGGACGUCGACCGGCGCACGGGUGAGUAACGCGUAUCCAACCUACCCAUUACUGUGGGAUAACCUGCCGAAAGGCAGACUAAUACCGCAUAGUCUUCGAUGACGGCAUCAGAUUUGAAGUAAAGAUUUAUCGGUAAUGGAUGGGGAUGCGUCUGAUUAGCUUGUUGGCGGGGUAACGGCCCACCAAGGCGACGAUCAGUAGGGGUUCUGAGAGGAAGGUCCCCCACAUUGGAACUGAGACACGGUCCAAACUCCUACGGGAGGCAGCAGUAAGGAAUAUUGGUCAAUGGACGAGAGUCUGAACCAGCCAAGUAGCGUGCAGGAUGACGGCCCUAUGGGUUGUAAACUGCUUUUGUAUGGGGAUAAAGUCAAUCACGUGUGAUUGUUUGCAGGUACCAUACGAAUAAGGACCGGCUAAUUCCGUGCCAGCAGCCGCGGUAAUACGGAAGGUCCGGGCGUUAUCCGGAUUUAUUGGGUUUAAAGGGAGCGUAGGCCGGAGAUUAAGUGUGUUGUGAAAUGUAGACGCUCAACGUCUGACUUGCAGCGCAUACUGGUUUCCUUGAGUACGCACAACGUUGGCGGAAUUCGUCGUGUAGCGGUGAAAUGCUUAGAUAUGACGAAGAACUCCGAUUGCGAAGGCAGCUGACGGGAGCGCAACUGACGCUUAAGCUCGAAGGUGCGGGUAUCGAACAGG